GGGGCUGUGGCUCAGUGGCAGAGCAUCUGCUUCGCAUGCAGAAGGCUCCAGGUUCGACCCCCGGCAUCUCCA